UGGUAAAAGAUGGCUAUGCGUCUUAUUAGCUAGAUGGUAAGGUAACGGCUUACCAUGGCAACGAUAAGUAGGGGCCCUGAGAGGGGGAUCCCCCACACUGGUACUGAGACACGGACCAGACUCCUACGGGAGGCAGCAGUGAGGAAUAUUGGGCAAUGGAGGCAACUCUGACCCAGCCAUGCCGCGUGCAGGAAGACUGCCCUAUGGGUUGUAAACUGCUUUUAUACAGGAAGAAACACACCUACGUGUAGGUGCUUGACGGUACUGUAAGAAU
rnacentral:rRNA from 1 species